rnacentral:rRNA from 1 species
UUGGAGGGAAGUCUGGUGCCAGCAGCCGCGGUAAUUCCAGCUCCAAUAGCGUAUAUUAAAGUUGUUGCAGUUAAAAAGCUCGUAGUUGAAUUUCGGGAUCAAUAUGUCGGUCGUGCCUCCGGUACGUACUGGCGUUAUUGGUUUCUCCCUUCUGACGAACCACGAUGUCAUUAAUUUGGUGUCAUGGGGAAUCAGGACUGUUACUUUGAAAAAAUUAGAGUGUUUAAAGCAGGCUCACGCUUGAAUACAUUAGCAUGGAAUAAUGAAAUAGGACGUUUGAUUCUAUUUUGUUGGUUUCUAGGAUCGACGUAAUGAUUAAUAGGGAUAGUUGGGGGCAUUAGUAUUCAAUUGUCAGAGGUGAAAUUCUUGGAUUUAUUGAAGACUAACUACUGCGAAAGCAUUUGCCAAGGAUGUUUUCAUUAAUCAAGAACGAAAGUUAGGGGAUCGAAGACGAUCAGAUACCGUCGUAGUCUUAACCAUAAACUAUGCCGACUAGGGAUCGGAUGAUGUUAAUUUUUUAAUGACUCAUUCGGCACCUUACGGGAAAC